UACGGGGGGAGCAAGCGUUGUUCGGAUUUACUGGGCGUAAAGGGCGCGUAGGCGGCCUCUGCAAGUCGGUUGUGAAAUCUCCGGGCUUAACCCGGAAAGGUCAAUCGGUACUGCAGGGCUAGAGUGCAGAAGGGGCAACUGGAAUUCUCGGUGUAGCGGUGAAAUGCGUAGAUAUCGAGAGGAACACCUGCGGCGAAGGCGGGUUGCUGGGCUGACACUGACGCUGACAGCGCGAAAGCUAGGGGAGCGAACGGG
rnacentral:rRNA from 1 species